rnacentral:rRNA from 1 species
GUGGGGAAUUUUGGACAAUGGGCGCAAGCCUGAUCCAGCAAUGUCGCGUGCAGGAAGAAGGCCUUCGGGUUGUAAACUGCUUUUGUACGGAACGAAACGGUCCGGGUUAAUACCCUGGGCUAAUGACGGUACCGUAAGAAUAAGCACCGGCUAACUACGUGCCAGCAGCCGCGGUAAUACGUAGGGUGCAAGCGUUAAUCGGAAUUACUGGGCGUAAAGCGUGCGCAGGCGGUUUUGUAAGACAGGCGUGAAAUCCCCGGGCUCAACCUGGGAAUUGCGCUUGUGACUGCAAGGCUGGAGUGCGGCAGAGGGGGAUGGAAUUCCGCGUGUAGCAGUGAAAUGCGUAGAUAUGCGGAGGAACACCGAUGGCGAAGGCAAUCCCCUGGGCCUGCACUGACGCUCAUGCACGAAAGCGUGGGGAGCAAACAGGAUUAGAUACCCUUGUAGUCC